UACGUAGGUGGCAAGCGUUGUCCGGAAUUAUUGGGCGUAAAGCGCGCGCAGGCGGCCUCUUAAGUCUGAUGUGAAAGCCCCCGGCUCAACCGGGGAGGGCCAUUGGAAACUGGGAGGCUUGAGUAUAGGAGAGAAGAGUGGAAUUCCACGUGUAGCGGUGAAAUGCGUAGAGAUGUGGAGGAACACCAGUGGCGAAGGCGACUCUUUGGCCUAUAACUGACGCUGAGGCGCGAAAGCGUGGGGAGCAAACAGG
rnacentral:ncRNA from 3 species